ACGGGUGAGUAACACGUGGGUAACCUGCCCCGUACUCUGGGAUAAGCCUGGGAAACUAGGUCUAGUACCGGAUAUGACUCCUUUGGGCAUCUGAAGGGGUGGAAAGUUCCGGCGGUACGGGAUGGGCCCGCGGCCUAUCAGCUUGUUGGUGGGGUGAUGGCCUACCAAGGCGACGACGGGUAGCCGGCCUGAGAGGGUGACCGGCCACACUGGGACUGAGACACGGCCCAGACUCCUACGGGAGGCAGCAGUGGGGAAUAUUGCACAAUGGGCGAAAGCCUGAUGCAGCGACGCCGCGUGAGGGAUGACGGCCUUCGGGUUGUAAACCUCUUUCAGCAGGGACGAAGCGUGAGUGACGGUACCUGCAGAAGAAGCACCGGCUAACUACGUGCCAGCAGCCGCGGUAAUACGUAGGGUGCGAGCGUUGUCCGGAAUUAUUGGGCGUAAAGAGCUCGUAGGCGGUUUGUUGCGUCGGCCGUGAAAACUUCACGCUUAACGUGGAGCCUGCGGUCGAUACGGGCAGACUUGAGUUCGGCAGGGGAGACUGGAAUUCCUGGUGUAGCGGUGAAAUGCGCAGA
rnacentral:rRNA from 1 species